rnacentral:rRNA from 1 species
GACGGCGGGUGCAAGCGUUAAUCGGAUUUAUUGGGCGUAAAGGGCGCGUAGGCGGGGAUAUAAGUCAGAUGUGAAAUCCCGGGGCUCAACUCCGGAACGGCAUUUGAAACUAUAUUCCUUGAGGGUAGAAGGAGAGAACGGAAGUCCACGUGUAGCGGUGAAAUGCGUAGAUAUGUGGAAGAACACCGGUGGCGAAGGCGGUUCUCUAUUUUAUUCCUGACGCUGAGGCGCGAAAGCAAGGGGAUCAAACAGG